GACGUCACGAGAGUUGUAGUACUCGCGUCAGAGUCGAACGCUGGCGGCGUGCUUAACACAUGCAAGUCGAACGGAGCACCUUCGAAAGAGACUUCGGUCAAUGGAAAAGAAUGCUUAGUGGCGGACGGGUGAGUAACGCGUGAGGAACCUGCCUUUCAGCGGGGGACAACAGUUGGAAACGACUGCUAAUACCGCAUAACGUACGGGUAUCGCAUGGUAUCUGUACCAAAGAUUUAUCGCUGAGAGAUGGCCUCGCGUCUGAUUAGCUAGUUGGUAGGGUAACGGCCUACCAAGGCGACGAUCAGUAGCCGGACUGAGAGGUUGGCCGGCCACAUUGGGACUGAGAUACGGCCCAGACUCCUACGGGAGGCAGCAGUGGGGAAUAUUGGGCAAUGGGCGGAAGCCUGACCCAGCAACGCCGCGUGAAGGAAGAAGGCUUUCGGGUUGUAAACUUCUUUUGACAGGGAAGAGCAGAAGACGGUACCUGUCGAAUAAGCCACGGCUAACUACGUG
rnacentral:rRNA from 1 species